UACGGAGGGUGCAAGCGUUAAUCGGAAUUACUGGGCGUAAAGCGCGCGCAGGUGGUUCCUUAAGUCUGAUGUGAAAGCCCACGGCUCAACCGUGGAGGGUCAUUGGAAACUGGGGAACUUGAGUGCAGAAGAGGAAAGUGGAAUUCCAAGUGUAGCGGUGAAAUGCGUAGAUAUGUGGAGGAACACCUGUGGCGAAGGCGCCUUGCUGGCCAAUUUCUGACGCUGAGGCGCGAAAGCGUGGGGAGCAAACAGG
rnacentral:rRNA from 1 species